GUGCCAGCCGCCGCGGUAAUACCGGCAGCCCGAGUGAUGGCCGCUAUUAUUGGGCCUAAAGCGUCCGUAGCUGGCCGACCAAGUCUCCCGGGAAAUCCACCCGCCCAACGGGUGGGCGUCCGGUAGAAACUGGCCGGCUUGGAACCGGAAGGCUCAGAGAGUACGUCCGGGGUAGGAGUGAAAUCCCGUAAUCCCGGACGGACUACCGAUGGCGAAAGCACCUCGAGAAGACGGCUCCGACGGUGAGGGACGAAAGCCAGGGUCUCCAACCGGAUUAGAUACCCGUGUAGUCC
rnacentral:rRNA from 1 species